rnacentral:tRNA from 1 species
UUCAAGUCAAGAAAACCCUCGUAUGGAGUAUAGCCAAGUGGUAAGGCAUCGGUUUUUGGUACCGGCAUGCAAA